rnacentral:rRNA from 1 species
GACGAACGCUGGCGGCGUGCUUAACACAUGCAAGUCGAACGGUAAGGCCCUUCGGGGUACACGAGUGGCGAACGGGUGAGUAACACGUGGGUGAUCUACCCCGCACUUCGGGAUAAGCCUGGGAAACUGGGUCUAAUACAGGAUAGGACCACUGACUGCAUGGGUGGUGGGGGAAAGCUGUUUCGGUGUGGGAUGGGCCCGCGGCCUAGUAGCUUGGUGGGGGGGUGAUGGCCUACCAAGGCGACGACGGGUCGCCGGCCUGAGAGGGUGACCGGCCACACUUGGACUGAGAUACGGCCCAGACUCCUACGGGAGGCAGCAGUGGGGAAUAUUGCACAAUGGGCGCAAGCCUGAUGCAGCGACGCCGCGUGAGGGAUGACGGCCUUCGGGUUGUAAACCUCUUUCAGCACCGACGAAGCGCAAGUGACGGUAGGUGCAGAAGAAGGACCGGCCAACUACGUGCCAGCCGCCGCAGUAAAAC